AGUUUUACGCCGGAUCGACAAACCGAAACCACCACGACGCUCCUGGCGAAAUUCUCUACAAGUUUGCCGGAACGGAUCGUCAGGAAAACGAAAUUGGAUUUCAUCCCAAAUCCAAGUUCCAGGGUGUUGAUUGGGAACGUGGGAAAUCAUCCCUAAGUUGAGGGUGUUGAGUUGAGAACCUUGUGGGUACGGGGGAGAUUUUCUUAGGGGCUUUUCAGGAAUCAGGAGCCCCUGAUAGGAGAGCGGGAAAAGCCCCGCUGAUCUAGAUCAGUUGGUUGCCCUCUUUGGAAGGGUAAGUUUUUGGUAGGGACAGUUAGGUUUUUG